rnacentral:rRNA from 1 species
AACAAACGCUGGCGGCGUGCCUAACACAUGCGAGUCGUACGAGAAAGGGUCCUUCGGGACCUGAGUAAAGUGGCGCACGGGUGAGUAACGCGUGGAUAAUCUGCCCUUCAGUUGGGAACAACUCAUCGAAAGGUGGGCUAAUACCGAAUAACACUGUGAGACUUUGGUCGAGCAGUCAAAGAGAGCCUCUGCUUGCAAGCCCUCGCUGAAGGAUGAGUCCGCGUACCAUUAGCUAGUUGGCAGGGUAAUGGCCUACCAAGGCGACGAUGGUUAGCUGGUCUGAGAGGAUGAUCAGCCACACUGGAACUGAGAUACGGUCCAGACUCCUACGGGAGGCAGCAGUGAGGAAUCUUGCGCAAUGGGGGAAACCCUGACGCAGCAACGCCGCGUGAGUGAGGAAGGUCUUCGGAUCGUAAAGCUCUGUCAGUUGGGAAGAAAUGCCUGAGGGUUAAUACCCUUCAGGCUUGACGGUACCAACAGAGGAAGCACCGGCUAACUCCGUGCCAGCCGCCGCAGUAA